rnacentral:rRNA from 1 species
AGGCCAGACUCCUACGGGAGGCAGCAGUGAGGAAUAUUGGUCAAUGGGCGGGAGCCUGAACCAGCCAAGUCGCGUGAGGGAAGACGGUCCUAUGGAUUGUAAACCUCUUUUGUCGGGGAGCAAAGAGGCCUCGUGAGGUCAAAAGCGAGAGUACCCGAAGAAAAAGCAUCGGCUAACUCCGUGCCAGCAGCCGCGGUAAUACGGAGGAUGCGAGCGUUAUCCGGAUUUACUGGGUGUAAAGGGAGCGUAGACGGCCAUGCAAGUCUGAUGUGAAAACCCGGGGCUCAACCCCGGGACUGCAUUGGAAACUGUGCGGCUGGAGUGUCGGAGAGGCAAGUGGAAUUCCUAGUGUAGCGGUGAAAUGCGUAGAUAUUAGGAGGAACACCAGUGGCGAAGGCGACUUGCUGGACGACGACUGACGUUGAGGCUCGAAAGCGUGGGGAGCAAACAGGAUUAGAUCCCCCCGUA